AGAGCGAACGCUGGCGGCAGGCCUAACACAUGCAAGUCGAGCGCCCGUAGCAAUACGGGAGUGGCAGACGGGAUAGUAACACGUGGGAACGCGCCCUUCGGUUCGGAAUAACUCAGGGAAACUUGAGCUAAUACCGGAUACGCCCUUACGGGGAAAGAUUUAUUGCCGAAGGGACGGCCCGCGUCCGAUUAGCUAGUUGGUGAGGUAAUGGCUCACCAAGGCGACGAUCGGUAGCUGGUCUGAGAGGAUGACCAGCAUCACUGGGACUGAGACACGGCCCAGACUCCUACGGGAGGCAGCAGUGGGGAAUAUUGGACAAUGGGCGCAAGCCUGAUCCAGCCAUGCCGCGUGGAUGAUGAAGGCCUUAGGGUUGUAAAGCCCUUUUAACGGGGAGAUAAUGACGGUACCCGUAGAAUAAGCCCCGGCUAACUUCGUGCCAGCAGCCGC
rnacentral:rRNA from 1 species